GGGCUCGCUUUGGCAGCACAUGUACUGAAAUUGGAACGAUACAAAGAAGAUUAGCAUGGCCCCUGCGCAAGGAUGACAUGAAAAUAUCAAAAAAUAAAUAAAAUAAAU